rnacentral:rRNA from 1 species
GAGGGAAACCGAGUCUUAAUUGGGCGUUAAGUUGCAGGGUAUAGACCCGAAACCCGGUGAUCUAGCCAUGGGCAGGUUGAAGGUUGGGUAACACUAACUGGAGGACCGAACCGACUAAUGUUGAAAAAUUAGCGGAUGACCUGUGGCUGGGGGUGAAAGGCCAAUCAAACCGGGAGAUAGCUGGUUCUCCCCGAAAGCUAUUUAGGUAGCGCCUCGUGAAUUCAUCUCCGGGGGUAGAGCACUGUUUCGGCUAGGGGGCCAUCCCGGCUUACCAACCCGAUGCAAACUGCGAAUACCGGAGAAUGUUAUCACGGGAGACACACGGCGGGUGCUAACGUCCGUCGUGAAGAGGGAAACAACCCAGACCGCCAGCUAAGGUCCCAAAGUCAUGGUUAAGUGGGAAACGAUGUGGGAAGGCCCAGACAGCCAGGAUGUUGGCUUAGAAGCAGCCAUCAUUUAAAGAAAGCGUAAUAGCUCACUGGUCGAGUCGGCCUGCGCGGAAGAUGUAACGGGGCUAAACCAUGCACCGAAGCUGCGGCAGCGACGCUGAUGCGUUGUUGGGUAGGGGAGCGUUCUGUAAGCCUGCGAAGGUGGCCUGUGAGGGUUGCUGGAGGUAUCAGAAGUGCGAAUGCUGACAUAAGUAACGAUAAAGCGGGUGAAAAGCCCGCUCGCCGGAAGACCAAGGGUUCCUGUCCAACGUUAAUCGGGGCAGGGUGAGUCGACCCCUAAGGCGAGGCCGAAAGGCGUAGUCGAUGGGAAACGGGUUAAUAUUCCCGUACUUGGUGUUACUGCGAAGGGGGGACGGAGAAGGCUAUGUUGGCCGGGCGACGGUUGUCCCGGUUUAAGCGUGUAGGUGUGUGUUCCAGGUAAAUCCGGUUCACUUUAACACUGAGGCGUGAUGACGAGGCACUACGGUGCUGAAGCAACAAAUGCCCUGCUUCCAGGAAAAGCCUCUAAGCAUCAGGUAACAUCAAAUCGUACCCCAAACCGACACAGGUGGUCAGGUAGAGAAUACCAAGGCGCUUGAGAGAACUCGGGUGAAGGAACUAGGCAAAAUGGUGCCGUAACUUCGGGAGAAGGCACGCUGACACGUAGGUGAAGUGAUUUACUCAUGGAGCUGAAGUCAGUCGAAGAUACCAGCUGGCUGCAACUGUUUAUUAAAAACACAGCACUGUGCAAACACGAAAGUGGACGUAUACGGUGUGACGCCUGCCCGGUGCCGGAAGGUUAAUUGAUGGGGUCAGCGCAAGCGAAGCUCCUGAUCGAAGCCCCGGUAAACGGCGGCCGUAACUAUAACGGUCCUAAGGUAGCGAAAUUCCUUGUCGGGUAAGUUCCGACCUGCACGAAUGGCGUAAUGAUGGCCAGGCUGUCUCCACCCGAGACUCAGUGAAAUUGAACUCGCUGUGAAGAUGCAGUGUACCCGCGGCAAGACGGAAAGACCCCGUGAACCUUUACUAUAGCUUGACACUGAACAUUGAGCCUUGAUGUGUAGGAUAGGUGGGAGGCUUUGAAGUGUGGACGCCAGUCUGCAUGGAGCCGACCUUGAAAUACCACCCUUUAAUGUUUGAUGUUCUAACGUGGACCCGUGAUCCGGGUUGCGGACAGUGUCUGGUGGGUAGUUUGACUGGGGCGGUCUCCUCCUAAAGAGUAACGGAGGAGCACGAAGGUUGGCUAAUCCUGGUCGGACAUCAGGAGGUUAGUGCAAUGGCAUAAGCCAGCUUGACUGCGAGCGUGACGGCGCGAGCAGGUGCGAAAGCAGGUCAUAGUGAUCCGGUGGUUCUGAAUGGAAGGGCCAUCGCUCAACGGAUAAAAGGUACUCCGGGGAUAACAGGCUGAUACCGCCCAAGAGUUCAUAUCGACGGCGGUGUUUGGCACCUCGAUGUCGGCUCAUCACAUCCUGGGGCUGAAGUAGGUCCCAAGGGUAUGGCUGUUCGCCAUUUAAAGUGGUACGCGAGCUGGGUUUAGAACGUCGUGAGACAGUUCGGUCCCUAUCUGCCGUGGGCGCUGGAGAACUGAGGGGGGCUGCUCCUAGUACGAGAGGACCGGAGUGGACGCAUCACUGGUGUUCGGGUUGUCAUGCCAAUGGCACUGCCCGGUAGCUAAAUGCGGAAGAGAUAAGUGCUGAAAGCAUCUAAGCACGAAACUUGCCCCGA